rnacentral:rRNA from 1 species
AUUGAACGCUGGCGGCAUGCCUUACACAUGCAAGUCGAACGGCAGCACGGGUGCUUGCACCUGGUGGCGAGUGGCGAACGGGUGAGUAAUACAUCGGAACGUACCUUAUCGUGGGGGAUAGCGCAGCGAAAGCUGUGCUAAUACCGCAUACGCCCUGAGGGGGAAAGCGGGGGAUCGCAAGACCUCGCGCGAUUAGAGCGGCCGAUGCCUGAUUAGCUUGUUGGUGGGGUAAAAGCCCACCAAGGCGACGAUCAGUAGCUGGGCUGAGAGGACGAUCAGCCACACUGGGACUGGGACACGGCCCAGACUCCUACGGGAGGCAGCAGUGGGGAAUUUUGGACAAUGGGGGCAACCCUGAUCCAGCAAUGCCGCGUGAGUGAAGAAGGCCUUCGGGUUGUAAAGCUCUUUUGUCAGGGAAGAAACACCGGCUCUAACACAGUCUGGGAAUGACGGUACCUGAAGAAUAAGCACCGGCUAACUACGUGCCAGCCGCCGCGGUAA